UCCGUAGGUGAACCUGCGGAAGGAUCAUUAUCGAGUUUUGACCGGGUUGUAGCUGGCCUUCCGAGGCAUGUGCACGCCCUGCUCAUCCACUCUACACCUGUGCACUUACUGCGGGCUUCAGAUUGCGAGGCACGCUCUUUACCGGGCUUGCGGAGCAUAUCUGUGCCUGCGUUUAUCACAAACUCUAUAAAGUAACAGAAUGUGUAUUGCGAUGUAACACAUCUAUAUACAACUUUCAGCAACGGAUCUCUUGGCUCUCGCAUCGAUGAAGAACGCAGCGAAAUGCGAUAAGUAAUGUGAAUUGCAGAAUUCAGUGAAUCAUCGAAUCUUUGAACGCACCUUGCGCUCCUUGGUAUUCCGAGGAGCAUGCCUGUUUGAGUGUCAUGAAAUCUUCAACCUACAAGCUUUUGUGGUUUGUAGGCUUGGACUUGGAGGCUUGUCGGCCGUUAUCGGUCGGCUCCUCUUAAAUGCAUUAGCUUGGUUCCUUGCGGAUCGGCUCUCGGUGUGAUAAUGUCUACGCCGCGACCGUGAAGCGUUUGGCGAGCUUCUAACCGUCUUAUAAGACAGCUUUAUGACCUCUGACCUCAAAUCAGGUAGGACUACCCGCUGAACUUAAGCAUAUCAAUAAGCGGAGGA
rnacentral:rRNA from 1 species